rnacentral:rRNA from 1 species
AUCGCCUACGGGGGGCAGCAGUGGGGAAUAUUGCACAAUGGGGGAAACCCUGAUGCAGCGACGCCGCGUGAAGGAAGAAGUAUUUCGGUAUGUAAACUUCUAUCAGCAGGGAAGAAAAUGACGGUACCUGACUAAGAAGCCCCGGCUAACUACGUGCCAGCAGCCGCGGUAAUACGUAGGGGGCAAGCGUUAUCCGGAUUUACUGGGUGUAAAGGGAGCGUAGGCGGCGAUGCAAGUCAGAAGUGAAAUCCCGGGGCUCAACUCCGGCACUGCCUCUGAUACUGUCGGGCUAGAGUUUAGUUGCG